rnacentral:piRNA from 1 species
UUACUUAAUAAGGAUGGUUGCCACUCAC